rnacentral:rRNA from 1 species
CGUUGUUCGGAAUUACUGGGCGUAAAGGGCUCGUAGGCGGCCAACUAAGUCGGAUGUGAAAUCCCCAGGCUUAACCUGGGAACUGCAUCCGAUACUGGAUGGCUUGAAUCCGGGAGAGGGAUGCAGAAUUCCAGGUGUAGCGGUGAAAUGCGUAGAUAUCUGGAGGAAUACCGGUGGCGAAGGCGGCAUCCUGGACCGGCAUUGACGCUGAUGAGCGAAAGCUAGGGGAGCAAACGGG